UGUGAGAUGAGGCCUGUAUAUCCGAUAUAGCUAAGUUGUGGGUUAAGGCUAACAGGCGAUGAUCCGUAGCUGUUCUAAGGGAUGAUCAGGCCAACUGAACUGAGAACCCGUCAGACUCCUACGGAGGCAGCAGUGGGGAAUAUUGGAACAAUGGGCGCAGGCUGAUCCAGCAUACCGGCGUGAGUGAUGAAGUCUUCGGAAUGUAAAGCUCUUUUAGUAGGGAGAUAAUGACGGUACUACAGAAAAAGCACCGGCAAACUUCGUGCCAGCAGCCGCGGUAAUACGAAGGGUGCUAGCGUGUUCGGAAUCAUUGGGCGUAAAGCGUACGUAGGCGGCUUGACAAGUCAAUUGUGAAAGCCCCGAGCUCAACUCGGGAAUUGCAAUUGAAACUGUCUCGCUAGAGUUUGGUGGGGGAUGGCAGAAUUCCUAGUGUAGGGGUGAAGUCCGUAGAUAUUAGGAGGAAUACCAGUGGCGAAGGCGGCCAUCUAUGCCAAUACUGACGCUAAGGUACGAAAGCGUGGGGAGCAAACAGGAUUAGAUACCCUGGUAGUCCACGCAGUAAACGAUGAGUGCUAGUUGUCGGGAUCUUGGAUUUCGGCGGCGAAGCUAACGCGUUAAGCACUCCGCCUGGGGAGUACGGUCGCAAGACUAAAACUCAAAAGAAUUGACGGGGACCCGCACAAGCAGUGGAGCAUGUGGUUUAAUUCGAUGCUACGCGAAAAACCUUACCAACCCUUGACAUCUGGAUGACCGGUAUAGAGAUAUACUUUUGGAGCAAUUCACAUCCAAGACAGGUGUUGCAUGGCUGUCGUCAACUCGUGUCGUGAGAUGUUAGGUUAAGUCCUUAAACGAGCGCAACCCUCAUCCUUAUUGGCCAUCGGGUUAUGCCGGGAACUAUAAGGAAACUGCCGGCGAUAAGCUGGAGGAAGGUGGGGACGAUGUCAAGUCAUCAUGGCCCUUAUGGGUUGGGCUACACACAUGCUACAAUGGUGGUUACAGCAGGAAGCGAAAGAGCAAUCUGGAGCAAAUCCCAAAAAGCCAUCUCAGUUCAGAUUGAGGGCUGCAACUCGCCCUCAUGAAGUUGGAAUUGCUAGUAAUCGUAGAUCAGCACGCUACGGUGAAUACGUUCUCGGGUCUUGUACACACUGCCCGUCAAGCCAUGGAAGCUGUUUCUACCUGAAUAGGUUGAGCUAACCGCAAGGAGGCAGAUCUACACGGUAGGAGGAGUGACUGGGGUUAAGUCGUAACAAGGUAACCA
rnacentral:rRNA from 1 species